UCCAAUAUUCCCCCCAUUUUUGUUUUUCUUCUUCUUUUUCUCUCUUGUUGCGCAUGUCUCUAUUUCUCAUCAGACGCGCUGAUCUCUCUCUUUCUCUCUCUCAGCGGCGUAAGACAACAAAGGCGGCGGCAGCGUGCAGCGCAUCUGGCAGCGGCAUCUCAGUCGCUUAUCUCUCUCUCUCUCUCUCUCUUUCUCAACAGCGUAGGACAGGCAAAGCCGGCAGCUAGCAACGGCAGCGAGCUUCUUGAUUUGCCUUUAUGCUACCCUGGCUGAAGAAAGUGUCGCUGCUCUGAUAAGAUCUCAGGGACAUGCAUAAUAAUGCAGAUUGGAGAUUAGAGAUUGACGUGUUUGGUAAUCUAGAAAGCAGGAACUUGCUCAUUUUGUGUUUUUGUUAAUAUUACCUUAUAUGUAUUUUGGGUGCGUUGUAAAAUUUAUAUUUUUGUAUAUAUUAGGAGACAUGUUUGGUAAUUUGCACUUAAUAUUAUAUUUUUAUAGAUAUUAGGAGACAUGUUUUCUAUGGAUAUUAGGAGACAUGUUUCGUAAUCCGCAGUUGAUAUUGUAUUUUUGUGGAUAUUAUGAGACAUAUUUCGACUACGGUGUUUAUGAAAAUAAACAAGUUUUUGUAUUGAUCUAUAAUAGAUAUUUUAUUAAACAUGUUAUUAAAAUGUGUAAGCAAUUUUUAGUGAAAAAAAUUGAAAAUUUAAAAGAUUACCCCCAUUUUUAAAAAUGUUAAC